rnacentral:misc_RNA from 1 species
GGCAAAAUCAACAAAAAUGUAUUAUGAUAAUUAUUGAAAAAACUAAUCAACAAAUCAAGCAGGCAGUCAUUUUGAUAAUAAAUUGAACAAAAACCCAGCUGAAACGCCUGCAAUACACAAGACAGAAACACGACGAACCCUCACAAAGAAAACAUUCAAAUUUUUAGCAACUUGUAGGGCAAGAGUCAGAAUCUGCAACCUACCUUGCUCCUCCAUCUUCUUAAAAAAGUACAUUGGUUUCACGGAUUGCCUCAACAUAAAAGCCAGUGUAAAAGGAAACCCAAAAGCCACAAAGCUUUGAAUAGAAACCUCUGGUAUUGGAGUUGCUUUGGUAAUGUAAGAAAUCCAAGCUCCAAGCCCAAGUUGAACCAGUCCGAGAAGAGCGACAGCCUUGCUCAGAACAUAGAUGCUCUUCAUCAUCGUUUCUAGAACCUCUCUUGUCUCAUUGGCCAAAGCUGAGAGGUCUCUUUCCACGGUGGGCCCCUCUAUUUCUUGAUGCUUGAAAUUGGGGAUUUUGCUUGGAUAUUCACUUUGAUUUUGGGAUUUCUCAGACCCAGAAGGUGAAUCAGAGCUUGAAGAAAAAUAUCUAGGUCUUUGAUUUGUUAACUGGUUAUCAAUACUUGAAAUCAUCUGCUUGCGCUUCAAAUCAGGGAUUUGGGAUUUCUCUCUUGUAAAUAUUGAAAAAAAUCCGGACUUUUCCGCUGUCGACAGGGUAAAAUGGUGAUUUUUGGUUUGGGUAGUAAAACUUGAAUACGAUCUAACAAAAUGAUGAUUGAAAUUUGCGGGUUUUGGCUCAGUUAGCGCUUGGGAUUCAAAAAUGGAGAUAUGAUCAGAAGAAGUUGAGGUAAAAUUGCGAUUCAAGGGUUUAUGUUGUUGUGAGAAAGAAGAAUUGGAGUGGUGACUAGUAAAGAAUCUAAAUCCAUAGUUUUGGGUUUCUUGAGCGAUGAAGUGAGAGUAAACAGAGGAAGAAGGAGAGAGAUUUAAGAGCUUACAAGAUAGCCUACGCGAGAUCAGAGUAGAAGCCAUUCUGGUUUUGUC